rnacentral:rRNA from 1 species
GACGAACGCUGGCGGCGUGCUUAACACAUGCAAGUCGAACGGAAAGGCCCUGCUUUUGUGGGGUGCUCGAGUGGCGAACGGGUGAGUAACACGUGAGUAACCUGCCCUUGACUUUGGGAUAACUUCAGGAAACUGGGGCUAAUAUCGGAUAGGAGCUCCUGCUGCAUGGUGGGGGUUGGAAAGUUUCGGCGGUUGGGGAUGGACUCGCGGCUUAUCAGCUUGUUGGUGGGGUAGUGGCUUACCAAGGCUUUGACGGGUAGCCGGCCUGAGAGGGUGACCGGCCACAUGGGGACUGAGAGACGGCCCAGAAGCCUACGGGAGGCAGCAGGGGGGAAUAUGGCGCAAUGGGCGGAAGCCUGAUGCAGCAACGCCGCGUGCGGGAUGACGGCCUUCGGGUUGUAAACCGCUUUCGCCUGUGACGAAGCGUGAGUGACGGUAAUGGGUAAAGAAGCACCGGCUAACUACGUG